UUUGACCGAACCCAACCACACCGGCCGACCGUCCGACCGGUCCUGCCCGUAGGUGGCCAGCAAUGCCUGCGCCUC
rnacentral:antisense_RNA from 1 species